UUUUUGGAGAGUUUGAUCUUGGCUCAGGACGAACGCUGGCGGCGUGCCUAAUACAUGCAAGUCGAGCGCUGGAAGCUAAUUUCAUCCCUUUGGGAUGAAAUUAGUGGAAAGAGCGGCGGACGGGUGAGUAACACGUGGGCAACCUACCUAUAAGACUGGGAUAACUCGCGGAAACGUGAGCUAAUACCGGAUAAUACUUUUUAUUGCAUAAUAAGGAGUUUGAAAGGCGGCGUAAGCUGUCACUUAUAGAUGGGCCCGCGGCGCAUUAGCUAGUUGGUGAGGUAAAGGCUCACCAAGGCAACGAUGCGUAGCCGACCUGAGAGGGUGAUCGGCCACACUGGGACUGAGACACGG
rnacentral:rRNA from 1 species